rnacentral:rRNA from 1 species
CUAGCUACAGGCUUAACACAUGCAAGUCGAGGGGCAGCAUGGUCUUAGCUUGCUAAGGCCGAUGGCGACCGGCGCACGGGUGAGUAACACGUAUCCAACCUGCCGUCUACUCUUGGACAGCCUUCUGAAAGGAAGAUUAAUACAAGAUGGCAUCAUGAGUCCGCAUGUUCACAUGAUUAAAGGUAUUCCGGUAGACGAUGGGGAUGCGUUCCAUUAGAUAGUAGGCGGGGUAACGGCCCACCUAGUCUUCGAUGGAUAGGGGUUCUGAGAGGAAGGUCCCCCACAUUGGAACUGAGACACGGUCCAAACUCCUACGGGAGGCAGCAGUGAGGAAUAUUGGUCAAUGGGCGAGAGCCUGAACCAGCCAAGUAGCGUGAAGGAUGACUGCCCUAUGGGUUGUAAACUUCUUUUAUAAAGGAAUAAAGUCGGGUAUGGAUACCCGUUUGCAUGUACUUUAUGAAUAAGGAUCGGCUAACUCCGUGCCAGCAGCCGCGGUAAUACGGAGGAUCCGAGCGUUAUCCGGAUUUAUUGGGUUUAAAGGGAGCGUAGAUGGAUGUUUAAGUCAGUUGUGAAAGUUUGCGGCUCAACCGUAAAAUUGCAGUUGAUACUGGAUAUCUUGAGUGCAGUGAGGGCAGGCGGAAUUCGUGGUGUAGCGGUGAAAUGCUUAGAUAUCACGAAGAACUCCGAUUGCGAAGGCAGCCUGCUAAGCUGCAACUGACAUUGAGGCUCGAAAGUGUGGGUAUCAAACAGGAUUAGAUACCCUGGUAGUCCACACGGUAAACGAUGAAUACUCGCUGUUUGCGAUAUACUGCAAGCGGCCAAGCGAAAGCGUUAAGUAUUCCACCUGGGGAGUACGCCGGCAACGGUGAAACUCAAAGGAAUUGACGGGGGCCCGCACAAGCGGAGGAACAUGUGGUUUAAUUCGAUGAUACGCGAGGAACCUUACCCGGGCUUAAAUUGCAGAUGAAUUACGGUGAAAGCCGUAAGCCGCAAGGCAUCUGUGAAGGUGCUGCAUGGUUGUCGUCAGCUCGUGCCGUGAGGUGUCGGCUUAAGUGCCAUAACGAGCGCAACCCUUGUUGUCAGUUACUAACAGGUUCCGCUGAGGACUCUGACAAGACUGCCAUCGUAAGAUGUGAGGAAGGUGGGGAUGACGUCAAAUCAGCACGGCCCUUACGUCCGGGGCUACACACGUGUUACAAUGGGGGGUACAGAGGGCCGCUACCACGCGAGUGGAUGCCAAUCCCCAAAACCUCUCUCAGUUCGGACUGGAGUCUGCAACCCGACUCCACGAAGCUGGAUUCGCUAGUAAUCGCGCAUCAGCCACGGCGCGGUGAAUACGUUCCCGGGCCUUGUACACACCGCCCGUCAAGCCAUGGGAGCCGGGGGUACCUGAAGUGCGUAACCGCGAGGAGCGCCCUAGGGUAAAACUG